rnacentral:rRNA from 1 species
AUUCCAGCUCCAAUAGCGUAUAUUAAAGUUGUUGCAGUUAAAAAGCUCGUAGUUGGAUUUCUGGUUGAAGCGACCGGUCGGGCGUUGAUUCGUCUGCACUGGAGUCGGUUUUGGCCAUCCUCUAGGAAAGUGCGUCUGGUAUUAAGUUGUCGGGCGUAUGAUCCUGGUCUUUUACUGUGAAAAAAUUAGAGUGUUUAAAGCAGGCCUUCGCCUUGAAUACAUUAGCAUGGAAUAAUAAGAUAGGACUUUGGUCUAUUUUGUUGGUUUGCAGACCGAAGUAAUGAUUAAUAGGGAUAGUUGGGGGUAUUUAUAUUCCGAUGUCAGAGGUGAAAUUCUUAGAUUUUCGGAAGAUAAACUUAUGCGAAAGCAUUUACCAAGGAUGUUUUCAUUG